rnacentral:piRNA from 1 species
UGCUGCCAGCAUCCUGACUCUCAGGCCAU